CCAUUAUAAAAUGAAGCUCCUUCCAUCAAUUACAUAGCUUUUAUUAAUUUGAUUUUUCUAUUUUGAAGAUACAUAUUGGUUAUUUGGAUGCUUUCGUUUAAAGAUUUGCAUAGAUCAAUGAGGAUUCGUGCAGCGGGGAGGGGACUGGUGAUAGGAAACAUGGGUCCAAGAAGAAAUCAAAGAGCAUGGUGAGUUGUUCUCCCUUUUGAAAUUUAAAACCUAGACUAGAAUCGGUCAAUUGUAAUUUGGCAAUAUGAUUAGGAUAGCAUAAUAUUUUGUUACUACCUUGCUAAUAGCUUCGCGAGGUAAUUAUGUCAGCUACAUAUGUGUUUGUUUUUUUACUGUAGUGAGAUCGCUUAUUUUAAUUUAGAAAAUAGAAACAUGAAGUGUGGUUAUAAGAAUCUAAUAACAGAUGUUCUUAGCAUGAACAAGCUCUGUAAUGUACCUACUGACUAAUAGCACAAUCGAAUCCUUCCUGAGCUGCGUCUGUCAAUCAUGACUUGGCAUGCCCGGUUUUACUUUACGAAGAGUAGUAUGUGGUGCUCUAAUAUUCAACCGUGUUCUUGAAUUCGGAAUUAUGUUUAUAAUAGUUAAAGUGCUUGUGAGUUGGUCUGAUGUAUAUAAGUGAAAGAAAAUAAAAAAGGAUGGAGGAAGGGAACUUCUUGCUUUUCUUUUCCUUUUGUUUCUCUGUUUGAUAAUUACUCCCUAUGAUGGGAAGGUUUGAGAAUAGAAACGUCCUACUCUUUUAUCCCUUUUAGUGUGAACGGCUCGACAACAAGCGUGGCUAUCUGCUCCUCGCUUUAUUGGUUGUGUCUCUGUCUUCCCCGUGCGCUGCGCCACAUGCCUAUUUGUGGCUUGUGUGCUGCUGCUGCGUUUAUGGUGUGUUGGCUUGAUGUGUGUGUGUGUGUGCGCACUAGCUAGGCGAGGAUCACUGGCUCACUUCUCUCUCUGUAGUUUCUUAGGGAAAAAGAUUACUUUUCCUCUCACCUGGAUCAUGCUUCUAGCAUCUUUCCAGGUAGGUAGAUGUUUCCAAGAUCAAGAGAGAAAAGGUUCUUCCAUUUAUAUACUUUUAGAUAACACAUGACCAGAAGUCUUUCCUAUGAAAAUCAUGUGGUCUUGUGACGCCCCGACCCUUUUCUUCAGAAAUUUGCGAUGUGUUUAUGCAUGUCUGUGUUGUGUUGUGUUGUGUUGUGUUGUGUUGUGAUGUACCAUUUUCUAAUAUCUGAUAGUUGUAUAUUUAUAUUGGCUGCGCCUAGCUUUUGUGAUAUAAUUUCGAAGGGUAUUCUUCCCAUAUGAUCAGUUCUGCGGCGUGCACUCAUUUUUACUACGAUGAAUGGUGUCUAAGUCUCCCUCUCUCUCUCUCUCACUCUGUGUGUGCCACUCUCUCUGAGAUUUGAAGGUAACUUAUUAUUUCCUGUUAUCAAUCAUGGGGAUGUUACGAUUUCUAUUUAUUUCUGCGGUGGCCAAUAAAAUCUGACGAGAAGUUGUUAUCCACCUCCCUCCAUGAUGGCGAACCUCCAACUAUUGUUUCUUUCCGGUAGGAUAUGCAUAUGAUCCAGUCCAUGUCUUGGCCUCUUUUUGAUGUGUGUAUUGCUAUGUUCUUCUUCCAGGUAUUGUUCAAUCCAUCAGUAGCUAGCAGAUGUCGUGCUGUGAUUAAGGUUUGCCACCUUCCUUUGCUACAUCGCUUAGUUUUAUGGGCCAUUCUUAGAAUACUAUGUGCUUGCUCUUUUUGGCUGUGGCAUGUGAAUAUGAUGCUUACCAACAUUAUUGUAGAAUUUGUUUCUCGAUGAUGUAAAACUUAUAGCUAUUAAAGGAAGCCCUUGGUUUGUAUUAGGUACUUGUGACAUUUGGUGGAACUGUAUGACAAAUAGUGAAAGAAUACAAAUUACCAAUGAUGUAGUUACAUGGAGAGAAGAUACUCACAUGUCACAUCAUAUUCCCUCACGCUCCUCUUCUCAAUUGCAAAACUUAAUAUUAGUUCAAGCUUCUUUUUUUAUGCUGUCAACAAUGUCAACUGGUGCAACAGGUGUCACCCUAAGAAAUUGAGAUUAGCUAAUAUGUUAUUCUGUAACAACACUCAGGUUCUUGAAACAAACAGGAUGAGAAUUUAUUUAAACAUGAUAGUAUAUUACCUACUUUAAAUCCUCCAAUAUAAUGGUCGACAUUAAUGGCGUAAACAUCCGCUCACAAGUAGUUUCAACAAAAGUGUUAUGAGCUGCAAAGUAAAUGAAUAUAGCAUUAAACCAGGCAAACUGCAAAAGCAAAAUCUUCACGCAGUAAUUUUUAUCAUACAAGCAAUUGAAAUAACAGACAUAAGAGAUUCCAGGCAAGAUACAGACUUUACCCAAUGCUUCUUAACAACAUCAAUUGCUUUUCCUUACUCGUCUGCCCUAUGAAACUGAGUAUGUCUAAAUUGGAUUCGAAAUUACAAGGACAGAUGUAAGGAACUGAUAAAUUUACCAGGACAGGGUUCAGUGAGGUCGACAUCAUACACCUUAUGUGUCAACAACAUAGGGUUCCAUGCAAUCUCAAGAUCAUGUGAACUCAUCUGUCCCUGUCCGCCACAACUCCCGCAGCGCCAUGCAUCUCGCUGCACCAAGCACGAGCGGAUUCAGGCCGCUUAAAAAGGACAUAGUAGCAUGGCGACUGUGGAUUUUUCUUAUCAAAAGUUCAAAACUACGCAGAUAACUCAGCAACCACACACCUAUGUCCCCAACCUGCAUAUGAGGCUCUUUUUUAUUAGGAAUUAUAUAUAGACAAACUAUAUGAGGCUUCUUUUUAGGAACUAUAUGGUCCCCAAUCGCAUGUUUGAGAAAGUUUCCCAUUAACAACCUAGCUAUAAUGUGUACAGAUGAUAUAAUACUAUGAAAUAGGCAAAAUGGUAUCUGGUUGAGAAAAUUGUUUAUUUAGAUGCCUAAAACAAACAAACAAAAACAAGUGAUAGAACCCUAACCGGAUAUUCACUUGCAAGAUGAGGCUUGUAGAGAUCGUAAACAUGAGUCAUGUGAGAAGCUCUAUAUUUGCUUUCGAAAGAAAUAGAUGCAUUUGGACCAAUAAGCAUAACAACUGUAGCAGCUCCACCCAUAGGCCGUGCUGGUCCCUCUGCAUAAACCUGAACAUAAUAUGGGACAGCAAAUGAGUAUUGCACGGAGACAAAAGGAAGAGAAACGGAAUCCAUUUAGUGCAACAGUUAGAUGGCCAUAUUGGGUGACUAACUGUGCUAUCUGUGCAGACUACAAGGCUGUAACGUUCAUCCCAACAUCGACUUCGACCGAAGUUACACCAAUUCAAGAGGGAAGUUGUUCCACCAUAACAUGCAUUACUGGAGUCAAACUCCCUCAAUGUCAGUAUUACCACUUUCCCGUAUUUGUGACAAGUGUCAACAAUAGCGACUGAGUGAGUGAGACUGAGACUGAACUAACAAACAACUAAAAGAACUGGAAAAUGUGAAUUCAUCAAGAUCAAGGUUUAGAGGGUGAAUAUAUGUGGGAUGCUAUUCCAUGAUUUACCUCAAAAAAUUGCAUCAGCCACGUUUUGAUGGAUUUACUUUUGUCUAUCACUGUCUCGCUACCAACCGCAAGGUGGCCAAUUAGCUUCAA
rnacentral:lncRNA from 1 species